GGACACACACACACAGCUUAGGCAUCCUCUCUACCUCUCCCCCAUCUCUUCCCGUCUCCCUUAUCAUUUUAUCAUCCAAAUUAUCCAGAAGAUUCCGCAAAAGAAAAAUCAGAAACAACUAUCCCAAAAUGCCCAAAAAAGCAACUCAAAGACAGUCUGAAAAACCCAGAUAAACCCAUUGAAUAAACCAAAAAAAAAAAAACCCUUGAACCCACAGAAAAUCCGGAGAGUAAAGAAACCAAAAAGAAGUAGAUUUAGGACAUCAACAGAGAACCCAAACACGACUAGGCACUAAUCGAAGCAACUGGAAGACAGAACCACCAAUAACAAGAACAACCAUAAUCAAGCAUCAAGUAAACAGUGAACAGAAGCUAAAAAUAAAAGCAGAGAGAGUACAUCAAAUGGGAGAUAAAUCACUGUUUAAGUCACUUAAAGAGAAGGUCGGUGACUAUGUGACAUUUGGCGAUGGAAGUCAUGCUCAAGUACUUGGCAAAGGGACUGUUGAGAUACCGGGAUUACCUUUAUUGAAGGAUAUCUUAUACAUCAAAGGGCUUAAGGCAAAUCUCUCACGCAUCACUCAAAUAUGUAAUGAGGAUUUCCUUGUUCAAUUCUCAAAGAAGGGGUGUGUAAUCAUUGAUGAAGAAGGGAUUUAAGUCUUGAAGGGAAAUAGAACUAUCGACAAUUGCUACAGAGUAGUUCCUACGUCAAAGAUUUCCUGUAGAAGUGCUCGUGUUGACAUGUUGGAACAUGGUGAAUGUGAGCACUACUUCACAUUGUUUAGAGCUUUUUCAUGUUGAUCUAAUGGGGCCCACAAGAACUGAAAGCCUAGGAGGAGAAAGGUGCAUCAUGGUCAUUGUUGAUGAUUUCUCAAGAUACACUUGGGUGGAAUUUCUUAGAGAAAAAUCAGAAGCAUGUGAGAAACUGGAAAUUCUGUGCAAGAGACUUCAAAACAAGAAAGGGGCUCCUAUUGUCAAGAUACGGAGUGAUCAUGGCAAGGAGUUUGAGAAUGCUAGAUUUGAGUCUUUUUGUGAGAAGAAUGGGAUCAAAAAAGAAUUUUUAGCUCCCAAAACUCCUUAAAAUGGGGUGGUUGAGAGGAAAAUUGGGUGAUUCAAGAAAUGGUAAGAGUUAUGCUACUCAAUAAGCAAAUUCCACAAAAAAUUUGGGGAGAAGCCAUGAACACUUCAUGUCACAUUGGUAAUAAAAUAUUCUUCCAAGCGGGAACAAAGAAGACUGCAUAUGAAAUUUGGAAUGGAAAGAAGCCAAAAGUGAAGUACUUCCGAGUAUUCGGAAGCAAGUGUUACAUUCUAAAUGAUCGGGAGAACAUUGAAAAAUUUGAUGCAAAAAGCGAUGAAGGCAUCUUCCUUGGGUAUUCUACUACUAGCUGGGCAUAUAGAGUUUUCAACAAGAGAGCAAAAAUGGUAAUGGAGUCCAUUAAUAUGGAAAUUAAUGAUGCUAUAACAAAAGUUGAGAUUGAUGAUGAUGGAGAAGGACCAAGCUCCAAAGGACCCACUGUUGAGGUCGAAGCCCAAGAUAUUGAAGGAGAAGGACUUACACUGGAAAAGGGAUCGACUCUCGUGAACUCAAGAAUAGAAACAAGGUUAAUGUCUAGUACAUCAAGUCCUCUCACUCCUCUAGAAGUUCAUUCUCCUAUCUCUCGGAAUGAUGAAGUGUCCACCUCAAAGAAGCCAUCGUCAAGAGUGGUUAAAAACCAUCUAGACAGUAACAUCAUUGGGUCACUAGAUGAAGGUCUUCGUCUUAGAAAGGGAAACAUACUUCUGGCCAAUCAUAUAACAUACCAUUGCUACCUUGCCCAAUUUGAGCUGAAAAAGGUAGAAGAAGCUCUUUAAGAUGAAAAUUUGGUUGAGUCAAUGCAUGAAGAGCUGAAUCAAUUUAUAAGAAAUGAUGUAUGGGAACUUGUUCCUAGGCCUGAAAAUGUUCAUGUCAUCGGCACCAAAUGGAUCUUCAAAAACAAGACCGAUGAAGAUGGAGAGAUUAUACGGAAUAAGUCUCGGCUGGUGGCUCAAGGAUACAAUCAAGUGGAAGGAGUAUAUUUUGAUGAAUCCUUCGCUCCCGUAGCAAGCCUUGAGUCUAUCUGCAUUCUUAUGUCAAUUGCAUGCACUAUGAACUUCAAACUCUACCAAAUGGAUGUGAAAUGUGCAUUUCUCAAUUGUACUUGAAUGAAGAAGUUUUUGUUGAACAACCUAAAGGUUUCCAAGACCCUCACUUCCCUGAUCAUGUGCUAUGAUUGAAGAAGGCUCUUUAUGGCUUGAAACAAGCUCCUGGAGCUUGGUAUGAUCGGCUUACACAUUACCUCUUGGAUAGAGGAUUCAAAAGAGAAUAUGACGACCGGACUCUAUUUGUUAAGAAUGAUGAGGACUACCUUCUCGUGACUCAAGUAUAUGUUGAUGACGUAGUAUUUGAAGCUACCACAGAUGCUCGAGCUAUAGAGUUCUCUAAGGAGAUGAAGAAAGAAUAUGAGAUGAGAUGGUGGGGGAGUUUACAUUUUUCUUGGGCCUUCAAGUCAAACAAAAGAAGGAGGGCAUAUUCAUUUCACAAGAAUAAUAUGCUAGAAAUAUUGUCAAGAAGUUUGGAUUAGAUUCCAAAAAGCAUGCCUCCACUCCUAUGAGUUCAUCUACAAAGCUUAAUCUUGAUCCUUCCGGGGUAGAAGUGAGUCCAACUUUGUAUAGGAGUAUCAUUGGGAGUUUACUCUAUCUUACAGAUAGUAGACCGGAUAUUGCUUUUAGCGUGGGAGUUUGUGCUCGAUAUCAAGCUGCUCUGAAAGAAUCUAACCUAACUACAGUGAAGCGAAUCAUAUGAUAUGUCAAUGGCACUCCGGAUUAUGGCUUGUGGUAAUGAAAGGAUUCUAAUCCUUGCCUCGCGGGUUAUUCAGAUGCAAAUUGGGCUGGAAGUGUGGAUGACUGAAAAAGUACUUUAGGCAGUUGUUUCUACCUUGGGAACAAUAUUUUCUCUUGGAUGAGCAAGAAACAAAAUUCAGUGUCCGUUUCUAUGGCGGAAGCAAAGUACAUUACUGCUGGAAGUUAUUGCACACAACUUCUCUGGGUGAAGAAGUUACUUCACGACUACGGGAUUCCUCAAGAUACAAUGUGUGUGUUCUGUGACAACAUCAGUGCUAUAAAUCACUCUAAGAAUCCAGUUCAACAUUCAAAGUUGAAGCACAUAGAGAUACGUUAUCACUUCAUUUGGGAUUUGGUGGAAGAUAAAGAUGUGUGUCUUGAAUUCAUACAUAUGGAAAAUCAAAAGGUGGACAUCUUCACCAAACCUUUCAAUGGUUCACAGUUUGAAUCACUCUGUAAGACCAUCGGCGUUGGUACAAUUCCUUGAAUCUCAUGUGUAAUGUGUGCUUUACUUAUUUAUCUUGAUUUAAACUCACUAGUGUAGAGCACACACUACUUUGUUCGUUUCAUGUAUAGCAUGUUUUGACAAAUUUUUAUUUAUUUCCUUGCUUUGAAAGUUUUUUCUUUUUGA